rnacentral:rRNA from 1 species
GACGAACGCUGGCGGCGUGCCUAAUACAUGCAAGUUGAGCGAUGAAGCUUGGUGCUUGCACCAAUUUGAAGAGCAGCGAACGGGUGAGUAACGCGUGGGGAAUCUGCCUUUGAGCGGGGGACAACAUUUGGAAACGAAUGCUAAUACCGCAUAACAACUUUAAACAUAAGUUUUAAGUUUGAAAGAUGCAAUUGCAUCACUCAAAGAUGAUCCCGCGUUGUAUUAGCUAGUUGGUGAGGUAAAGGCUCACCAAGGCGAUGAUACAUAGCCGACCUGAGAGGGUGAUCGGCCACAAUGGGACUGAGACACGGCCCAAACUCCUACGGGAGGCAGCAGUAGGGAAUCUUCGGCAAUGGACGAAAGGCUGACCGGGCAACGCCGCGGGAGGGAAGAAGGUUUUCGGAUCGUAAAACUCUGUUGGUAGAGAAGAACGUUGGUGAGAGUGGAAAGCUCAUCAAGUGACGGUAACUACCCAGAAAGGGACGGCUAACUACGUG